UAACGUCGCCGGGGCGGCUCCCGCCCGCAUCGAGGGCGUCAACGACGUCCGCAGACGCGCCGAUCAAGAGCUUAACGGCUUCGAGAGAAGCCGCGGAGCCGCCGGCGGCAGCGCAGUGCAGGGCGGUGGCUCCGUCGGAGUAGGCGUGGCGGACGGCCUCAGCUGGGCAGGCGGACAGGAUGUAGCCCAUCACGGCGGUGCUGCCGUAUAGCGCCGCGAUCAUGAGCGGCGUCCGCAGCUGGUAACCCAUUCCCCGGCCAGGAGAGCGGCCGUACCAGGAGGCAGCGGCAUCCAACGGUCGGCCGUCGUCCUCCACCGCCCGCCUGAAGGCGGCGAGGUCGUCGGAAGCGGCGAGCUCAAGGAGCACUGCGGCCGCCUCCGACGAAGUCUCCAUGGCCUCUGCGCCGCAUCCCGCCGCGGGGUCGUUGGGCAGCGAGGAGAGCUUCCGGUGGCCGCCACACAUGUCCUCUCUUCCACCUACAUCAAGCAACAAAACUCCGUCAAAAACCAAAAAGAGGCAACAAAUCGAACGCCACGAUGAAACCUAUGAGAAUGGAUGCGUACGAGAGCCGAUGCGAGUGUGAGGGAACGAAGGGAACGAGGAGGUCGUGAUUUGCGAGGAAAGCUUUGGCCUUUCGUCCCCUUUUGUAGGCGUGAGUGGGAGUG
rnacentral:lncRNA from 1 species